UACGAAGGGGGCUAGCGUUGCUCGGAAUCACUGGGCGUAAAGGGUGCGUAGGCGGGUCUUUAAGUCAGGGGUGAAAUCCUGGAGCUCAACUCCAGAACUGCCUUUGAUACUGAGGAUCUUGAGUUCGGGAGAGGUGAGUGGAACUGCGAGUGUAGAGGUGAAAUUCGUAGAUAUUCGCAAGAACACCAGUGGCGAAGGCGGCUCACUGGCCCGAUACUGACGCUGAGGCACGAAAGUGUGGGGAUCAAGCAGG
rnacentral:rRNA from 1 species